rnacentral:rRNA from 1 species
UACGGAGGGGGCUAGCGUUGUUCGGAAUUACUGGGCGUAAAGCGCUCGUAGGCGGCUUUGCAAGUUAGAGGUGAAAGCCCGGGGCUCAACUCCGGAAUUGCCUUUAAAACUGCAUCGCUAGAAUUGUGGAGAGGUAAGUGGAAUUCCGAGUGUAGAGGUGAAAUUCGUAGAUAUUCGGAAGAACACCAGUGGCGAAGGCGACUUACUGGACACAUAUUGACGCUGAGGUGCGAAAGCGUGGGGAGCAAACAGG